GCCGAAGUGGCGGAAUUGGCAGACGCGCAUGGUUCAGGACCAUGUGCCCAAUAGGGCGUGCCGGUUCGAGUCCGGCCUUCGGCACCA
rnacentral:tRNA from 1 species